ensembl:lncRNA
GGAUUUCAAAGGCUAUUUUUCUGUUGAUCAAACCCACAUUAAAUCUACUUUGAUUCAAUGUGUUGAACAAUAAAACAAAGGGGUGGUGCUUAGUGUUUGUAUGCUGCAUGGAACUUGCCGGGAUCCUUUAAAUGUGAGCUAACAGAAGGUCAGACAUUGUGCUACAGCUGAGUCAGCAGGCUGCCUUGAGUCAAUGAAUGUAACCGAUUGCAGAGGCAGUGAAUGCUAUGCUAACAGUUGGGUUUAAUGCACCUCUAGAUGACAGCAGAUCCAGUUAAUGAGGUCAGUAUCAGCCCCAAUGUUGUGUUCCUGCUUUCAGGACCCUUUUUUAUUAAGAUAGGAAGGAAAUUCCGAUAGACUCCCUGACAAUUCAACACACAAACCCCUCUAUCUCUCUCGUCCCACACUCUCCCAACCACCCACCCCAUGUUGCCAUGACAAUCUACAUCAUCACCAUUCUCAUCGGCAUCGCCAUGGUUACUCCUCAGCGUGUUGUCACGACACCAUGUACAUGGGAUGAAAAAAAGAAAGAAAAAAAGAAGUGUUAGGAUGGAGCGAGCAGCGGCAGAGCCCUAACGGUUGGAUUCAGCUCAACAUUCAGCUCCAGAGAUCGGUGCGAUUCUCCGGUAUUUCAUUAAAAAAUAGGUUUCACACAGUCCCAUAGCAGCCACUCCUUACAUAAACGAAUAAGAUUUCAGAGAAUAGUUGUGGUAUUUAAAUUAUGAUCACAUAGAGAUUAUAUAUAUGGAUAUUUGCAAAAAAUAAUAAUAAGAAGAAGUGUAUUUAUGAUGUGUGUGUCAUCCUGAAGACUAUUUUUCAAAGUGAACAGAUCUAAUCUGAGUGUUGAAUCCGUUUGCUUCUCCAUGCUUCAGUGGUCCGAGCUGACGAAUCAUUGUAGGAUACCAUGUUGGGAUAUUUCCAGGAAGUGUUCUUUUUAUGACUAUUCUUUUUUAUUUGUUUUCUCUGCCUACAUGUGUACAAGUGUCCAGGUGUGGCGAUGUGUAUAAUACAAACAAUUCCUGUUGUUCAGUUUUAUUCUUUUUUUGUAUUGUUUUAAAUGUUUUUUCUUUGAAACAUGUGCCUUGCUUUGUGAUUUUUCGUCUGACUACAAUAUAAUAGAUGGGUAUGUACUAUAUAAGGGCAUCUCUCUCUCUUUUUCCAUUUUGCUAUCUUACUUGAUAUAUCCGUAUGAAAAUGAUGCUGCCACGAGAUGUGACGUUUGACACAUAAGAAAACCCAUUUAAAUCAGAGUGUGACUGAAAGAUUAGCAUCAAACUUGUUUCAGUGAAACAUGCUUCCAUAACCAAUAUUAGCUGCUUCCUUUCAAGUACUAAUUUGGACUAUUUAAGGAGUAAUUUGGGGAAAUGUGCUUUUUCAGCUUUCUUGCCCAGAGUUAGAUAAAAAGAUCGAUACCACUAUCAUGGCUGUACGCUAAAUAUAGACCCUUUUCCAUUGCAGGAAAUUGUGGGCCUUUAGGGCAAUCUGAACCUUUGCAUGUGUUCUUUUCGGGAGAGAAAACAACACCUGUUAUGGGAUAGUAACAUCUGAGUGGCCCUGAAAAACUGCUUUGUUGGUGUCACCACUGAUUGCUUAAAUCCAGACACGAAAACAUGCGUCUUUUUGUCUGGGUCUAAUCAAGUAGUAGUCAUUUCCUCUUCAACAUCACCACCUUUAAAUUUACCAAAUAGGCAAACAUAAGAAACCCUCUGGAGUUACGUCCAGGAACUACUAUUUGUCUUGUUUUGGCACGGUUGAAGCUGUUGGAUCCUACAGUGGAAACAGAAUGCUAAAAGACCCGAUUAUGGUGUUCUUAGGGUGGAUCAUCUGCACGUCUUCACAGCUCUCCAAGUUCCUGCAGUGGAACCCAGCUGUUUUCCACUGCAGGAACUUGUGAUCUGUUUUAGGCCGACUUGGGGGGUGGGGGGAUUUAAAGAUAGUAGUCAACAUUACAAAACUAACUUCAAUGUAAAAAUGCAUCUUAAAAGAGCAUUUCCUAUUUCAGUGACACAAGUAUUACACAAAUGUUGACCAAACAGUCCAAAAUGAACACUGUUUAACCCUUUGAUGCGUAGUGUGGGUCAGGAGAUACUCAUUUUCCAUUGGAUUUGGGUCACUUUUGGGUUUACACAAAGGGUUUAGGAGGUUAUCCCUCACUUUGUGAUUUCAUCGGCAACCCAAAUUCUUCCUCAUCUGACCCACAGAAAACCUACCCAGGAAUUAGUCUGAUUCUUUGGCCCUGUGAUCGUUUACAACCUCAUCUUCAUUCCAGAUCUGGACCAGAUACAUCACCAAGCCUUUGUUCUAAACCUGCACUGUUUGAAGCCUAUGGAUUUACUUAUUAUGUACAUUGCAAGAACACAAAAAUAUGGAAAGGCAUAUUCAAUAACAUUCAAUUUAAAAAAAAUGUCUUCUUGCUUAUAAAACUGAGGUUACAUUUGGCAUUUUGGUGCUAAUGUUGCAGGCAAAGUUGUUGGAUCCUCCUCAGAAAUGCUAAAAGAGCCGAUUAGGUGGCUGUUUUAGCAAAUGUUUGCAUCACAUCUCGUGUGCCCCGAGUUUCUGCAGUGGAAAAUCGCCAACAGCAGCUGAGCUUACUUAGCCUGGUGUAAAGACUAAAACCUGAGAAGGAAACGUAUCUAGUUUGUGUUCAAAAACUAAUCUUCCAACAGAGCCAAGCCAGCUGUUUCCAGUCUUUUAGUCCUGCACCCUGUUCAAAAUUUGGACUCAGGUUAAUAAUUUGGUUGAAAUAAUGAAAUUAAAGUUCAUGUAAUGUUUUGUGUUCAGUAUUUUUGAUUAUAUGUACCAUGAAAUUUUGCUAAACCAGGCCGACCACUUCCUGUCCUCAUAAGUGGUAUCGAUCUUCUCAGCUAAUCUUAAGCAAGAAAGUGAAUAAGCACAUUAAAGUGAUUAAAUUGUCCUGUCCAGAUGCAGUUUGUACUCUUGUAUAGCUGCAUUUUUGAAUUUCAGAAACACAAUUGUUAACAAUCUGGCAUCAAACUGUCCUUAACUAGAUAUUUAGCUCAUUUUUAGUCCUCUGACCGCUGAGAGUGUCCUGUACUGUGUGCAGAUUACAGCUUUUUAAUCUCAUCAUGUCAAAGCAUCAUUUUUGCCUUUUCCCCUUCCUUCCUUGGGUCUCAUUUUGGUCAUCUCAUGUCGUCUGCAUUAUUUUGAAGUGUGUUCGGGGGUUUGGGGGUCAGGCUACGAAGACAAAAUACCGCAGAUGGUGAAAAAACACAGAUGGUCAAAACGUGUUGUGGAGCAAAAGUACUGUUCAUUUCUUAUUUCUUAACAAAAGAUAAAGCCAAGCUGUUUUCAUUUGGAGCUGUUUUGAUUUGAUUUUCCGCCUGUGCUUAUCUGAACAGACGCCUGACCGGUGUCUCCUCUGCUCUGCAGCGACUGUAUGCGAGUGCUUGAGAGAGGCCAAAGUGUGUUACGUGUUGCUCUGCUAUUGACUGUAUGAAAUCUGUGUGUGUGUGUGUGUGUGUGUGUGUGUGUGUGUGUGUGUGUGUGAGAGCGCAAGUGUGUGUUGUAGUGACUGGACAGUGGUGUGCUUGCAGUGACUGCAUCUUAUGGCCAUCUGCUCUGAAUAAAUAAAUGUUCUAUACAAACUUAA